GGCGGUGGCCAGGGCCAGCGGCAGGUCGCGGCGGGGCGGCGGGCGGCGGAAGGCGUCGUUGAGGAGGAGGAGGAGGGUGAAGACGAAGGACAAGGCCCAGGCGGACAAGCAGCCGUCACCCUCGCCAGGGUUCCAAUAGCCGGGGGCCGCCGCCAGCGCCAGCGCCAGGAGGGCACUGAGAGCCUGGACACAGCGGAGAGGGGACGGGGGGCGGCACGGAGGGGGCAUCCUGGGGGCUGCGGAGAGAUGGGGAGGUCAUCAGAGGGGUUUUGGGGCUGGGGGCUGCUGGGGGGGCUUGGGGAUGUUGGCAGAGAGCAGCACAGCAGGGGCAUCCCAGAGGCUGGGGAGAAAUCUGGGUUAGUGGGGUGCUGGGUGAGGGGAUUCCCGGUGUUCGGGGGAUCCCGGGAAUGCCGGGGGUCACCAGGAGGGGGUCCCGGGGGGGCUUGAGACUACUGAGGGGACACGGGCGGCACAGCAGGGGCUGUGGAGAAAUGGGGCUGUUGGGGUCAUUGGGGGAUUCCCGGUGUUUGGGGGAUCCCGGGAAUGCCGGGGAACACCAGGAGGGGGUCCCAGGCAUGCCGGGGGUGGGGGCGCUCAGGGCUGUGCCCAUAUAAGGCUCUGGAGAAUCUUCCUCCCCCUCCUCCUCCUCCUCCCUCCGCCCCCCCAUGCUGGGCGCUGGUCACAUCCUGUGGGUGAAGGAGGGGGGGGAGGUCCCGGGAUCCCGGGGGAGACCCCAGAGGGGACCCCAAGGGUCCGGGGGAGGGGGCUGGGCUGGGGCACCCCAGGACCCCCCACCCUGCGUGCCCCUUCCCCACAGCAAGACCCCAGGGUGGGUCCCGGCACUCACCCGAGCGGGUUCGGGUUUUUCCGGGCGAGUUCGGGUGGGUUCUGGGCUGAGUUCGGGUCCCUUCAGGAGGGUUCGGGUCCCCUCAGGAGGGUUCGGGUCCCCUCAGGAGAGUUCGGGUUCCUUCGCGCGGGACGCUCCUGCUUCGGCUGUUUCGGGACCGGUUCUGUUCCUCCCAGUUCGGGUUCCCCAGCACGGGUUCGGAUCCCCUCAGGCGGGUUCGGGACCCCUCAGCCGGGUUCGGGACCCCUCAGGGAGGUUCGGGACCCCUCAGGGAGGUUCGGGUCCCUUCAGGGAGGUUCGGAUCCCCUCAGGCGGGCUCGGAUCCCCUCAGGGAGGUUCGGAUCCCCUCAGGGAGGUUCGGGUCCCUUCAGGCGGGCUCGGAUCCCCUCAGGGAGGUUCGGAUCCCUUCAGGCGGGUUCGGAUCCCCUCAGGCGGCCUCGGAUCCCCUCAGGGAGGUUCGGCUUCCCUUCAGGCGGGUUCGGAUCCCCUCAGGGAGGUUCCGGUCCCUUCAGGCGGGCUCGGAUCCCCUCAGGCGGGCUCGGAUCCCCUCAGGGAGGUUCGGCUUCCCUCGGGCGGGCUCGGGUCCCCUCGUGCGGGCUCGGGUCCCCCCGGUUCGGGACGCUCCCGGUUCGGGACAGUUCGGGUGUGUCCGGAGCGGUUCGGGUCCCCUCGGGCGGGUCCCCUUGGGCGGGUUCGGGUCUCUCCGCCGGGCCGGUCCCAGCCGUGUCACUCCGGGCGGUGCCCACCGGGGCGUGGCCAGGGUGUG
ensembl:lncRNA